UACGUAGGUGGCAAGCGUUAUCCGGAAUUAUCGGGCGUAAAGAGGGAGCAGGCGGCAGCAAAGGUCUGUGGUGAAAGACUGAAGCUUAACUUCAGUAAGCCAUAGAAACCGGGCAGCUAGAGUGCAGGAGAGGAUCGUGGAAUUCCAUGUGUAGCGGUGAAAUGCGUAGAUAUAUGGAGGAACACCAGUGGCGAAGGCGACGAUCUGGCCUGCAACUGACGCUCAGUCCCGAAAGCGUGGGGAGCAAACAGG
rnacentral:rRNA from 1 species